AGCUCCAAUAGCAUAUACCAAAGUUGUUGCGGUUAAAAAGCUCGUAGUUGGAUCUCAGUUUGACCUGCGUGGUCCGCUUGCCGGCGGUUACUGCGUAGGCAAACAAGAACAGCAGACUGUCUCGCAAUGCUCUUCACCGGGUGUUGUGAGCAAUCUGUACAUUUACUUUGAACAAAUUAGAGUGCUCAAAGCAGUCUUUAAACGACCGAAUAAUCUUGCAUGGAAUAAUGGAAUAGGAUCUCGAUUCUAUUUUGUUGGUCUUCUCGAAUCUGAGAUAAUGAUUAAGAGGGACAGACGGGGGCAUUCGUAUUGCAGCGCUAGAGGUGAAAUUCUUGGACCGUUGCAAGACGUACAACAGCGAAAGCAUUUGCCAAGAAUGUUUUCA
rnacentral:rRNA from 1 species